GAUGAACGCUGGCGGCGUGCCUAAUACAUGCAAGUCGAGCGAACAGAUAAGGAGCUUGCUCCUUUGACGUUAGCGGCGGACGGGUGAGUAACACGUGGGUAACCUACCUAUAAGACUGGGAUAACUUCGGGAAACCGGAGCUAAUACCGGAUAACAUUUGGAACCGCAUGGUUCUAAAGUGAAAGAUGGUUUUGCUAUCACUUAUAGAUGGACCCGCGCCGUAUUAGCUAGUUGGUAAGGUAACGGCUUACCAAGGCGACGAUACGUAGCCGACCUGAGAGGGUGAUAGGCCACACUGGAACUGAGACACGGUCAAGACUCCUGAGGGAGGCACCAGUAGGGAAUCUUCCGCAAUGGGCGAAAGCCUGACGGAGCAACGCCGCGUGAGUGAUGAAGGGUUUCGGCUCGUAAAACUCUGUUAUUAGGGAAGAACAAAUGUGUAAGUAACUGUGCACGUCUUGACGGUACCUAAUCAGAAAGCCACGGCUAACUACGUG
rnacentral:rRNA from 1 species